rnacentral:lncRNA from 1 species
GGGAGGACAGGGAGCGGGGCUGAGGCUGGUGAGGCCUGAACUUGUAGACUUGAAAGAGGCUGGUGCUUUCUUCUCUCAGCCAGGGCUUCAGAAGGAAGCUAGAUGUUUCCGGCUAUAGCUACGAACUCUGGGACUUCCACUCCCAGAAGCUGAGCUGAUUAACCCUGGACUGGAAUGGCUGAGAGAGGAAGGUGUUGAGAUGAAUAUGGGCUGGGGAUAGGUCCUGGGUGGAAUGAGGCCUGCGCUUCAGGUGAAUGUAAUUCACCCAGCAUUGUUGCCACCUCUGGGAGGCUUUGGCCUGCUCCCGAGGGCAGGGGUGUUCAGAUUGAUUCUUGCUUUUAGGGUACACAAAGCUGGGGGAAACACAGGCAGGGGAGCCAGUGACACUUUCACAUGCAUAGUGCCAGAGGGAGGUGGGUGGGGCUAGAGGAGUCUGGGACUGGUGACAGGAGAGAGGUGGUGACAUCUGAGUUGGGUUUGGAGGGGUGAGGGGGAGUUCCCCUGGGGUGAAGGGCCGAGGUGUGGCCCUUCCUUACAGGUGGGUUAUAGCACUGACCGGAUUUGGUCCCCGGGCCUUCAUUGACAUCUUGCUCCUAUCAGGAAAUUGACAAGCCUUCUUCUCUCUUUGUGGGAUCCAGUUAUAGUCCCAACCGGAUCCUAACUUUCACCUCUCUGGCUGUGGCUCAUUUGGGGCAAUGCCUGGGCCCUUCCAAUUCUGGCUUUUCUGUUCUCCAAUUCCAAGGGCUAAGUCCACAGGUAAUUAGGGAGGGCUUCUUGGAGGAAGUAAGCCUCACAGUUCAUUGAAUUCAGGGAAGCCCAAAGGGGAGGGAAAAGACCUGGAGAAGAACAGCCUUUGCAGGCAGGGGCCCUAGAGUGAGAGUGAGAACUUUGGUGGGGCCAGAGAUAGUAAAGAUGGGGCCCCUACUGCCUCUGCGAGGCUGUGGCCUUAUGACAUCCCAGGCUGCUUUGGAGACCUGGGAAGGGCCAGGACCCUGCUCUGCCCAGCAGGCAUUCCAGAGCCUGGGAUGGAGCUGCAGAAGCUGCAGGGAGGGAGCCAGGGGGCCUGGCCUGGAGUCCCCAGCCCUCCAGUGCAGACUUGCUCUGCCCUGGCUGACACUGCACCCCUCCCCUUCCCCACUUCCUGUUUUCAGGCACAGGCUGUUACCCUCACCGUAGCCCAGGCCUUCAAAGUCGCCUUUGAGUUUUGGCAGGUGUCCAAGGAAGAGAAAGAGAAGAGGGACAAAGCCAGCCAAGAGGGAGGGGACGUCCUGGGGGCCCGCCAAGACUGCACCCCCCCUUUGAAGAGCUUGGUCGCCACUGGGAACCUGCUGGACUUAGAGGAGACAGCUAAGGCCCCGCUGUCCACGGUCAGCGCCAACACCACCAAUAUGGACGAGGUGCCGCGGCCACAAGCCUUGAGUGGCAGCAGUGUUGUCUGGGAGCUGGAUGAUGGCCUGGAUGAAGCGUUUUCGAGGUAAUGCUAGCUUCCUGUGCUGGGCAGGGGGCCUGGUGUGCGUGGGCUGGCCCUGCUGCCCUUUCCCCUGGGGACCUUUCCCCUGAUUAAGAACACAAGCCACUCGGACCCCCUCCAGAGCAACAGUCCCAUCCCUCCACUCAAAUGCUUCCAGGGGCAGGGAGCUCACUGGGGAGGAAACCCCUUCCAGCGUUGUCCAGAGCUGUUAGAAAGUUCUUACUGUUGAGUCAAAAACUAUUCCCGGUGGCUGCUCUGCCGCAGUCUGAGCUGAGCGAAACACACUGCAGCUCAAGUUGAUUUCCUCCGACUUGAGGAGGCGUGGCCUUCAAAAAUGGGCUUUUUUUUUUUUUUUUUUACAGGCUUUGCUCCCUCCACAGGUCUGUGUUUAUGAACAGGGGAAGGGAGAAAGUGUUUAAUGAAGCUCGUGAAGCGUUCCAUAGCAG